rnacentral:lncRNA from 1 species
UGGAAGAUUCCGAACAAGCGGAUGUUUUCGAAAGGUCAGAAAUUAUUGAUACAACUGCAUCUGUGUCAAAGGAGAAUCAUUGCCCGGAUGAUUUUUUUUUACAAAGUCUGGAAGUGCAAAAUUUGACUUUUCUACGCCAGAAGUUACAGCUAAUGUUCCUAAGACAAACCAGGCUUUCUUGAGUUCUGAUCUGGACAUUUCAGUUAUUGACUCUGACGUAGAAGGUAGAAAUACAAGCUCUCUUUUGGGGUGUAAAUUUUGUGCAUGAUUUGGCUUUCAUUGAGACGUCUCUGGGUAAGGAGUUACUAAGGAAGAGAAACUUACAUGCAGGUUGAAGCAUGCAGUGUCAAAUGUAUAAGGAAUAUAAAAGAUGCUGUAUAUUAGUAUAAGUUUGAAUAACCAUAAUAAAAAAAUUUCUUGAAAA